rnacentral:rRNA from 1 species
UACGUAGGGGGCAAGCGUUGUCCGGAAUCAUUGGGCGUAAAGAGCGUGUAGGCGGCCCGGUAAGUCCGCUGUAAAAGUCAAAGGCUCAACCUUUGAAUGUCAGUGGAUACUGCCGGGCUAGAGUCCGGAAGAGGCGAGUGGAACUCCUGGUGUAGCGGUGGAAUGCGCAGAUAUCAGGAGGAACACCAAUAGCGAAGGCAGCUCGCUGGGACGUUACUGACACUAAGGCGCGAAAGCGUGGGGAGCGAACAGG